rnacentral:rRNA from 1 species
CACAUGCAAGUCGAGGGGCAGCAUGGUCUUAGCUUGCUAAGGCUGAUGGCGACCGGCGCACGGGUGAGUAACACGUAUCCAACCUGCCGUCUACUCUUGGCCAGCCUUCUGAAAGGAAGAUUAAUCCAGGAUGGCAUCAUGAGUUCACAUGUCCGCAUGAUUAAAGGUAUUUUCCGGUAGACGAUGGGGAUGCGUUCCAUUAGAUAGUAGGCGGGGUAACGGCCCACCUAGUCAACGAUGGAUAGGGGUUCUGAGAGGAAGGUCCCCCACAUUGGAACUGAGACACGGUCCAAACUCCUACGGGAGGCAGCAGUGAGGAAUAUUGGUCAAUGGGCGAUGGCCUGAACCAGCCAAGUAGCGUGAAGGAUGACUGCCCUAUGGGUUGUAAACUUCUUUUAUAAAGGAAUAAAGUCGGGUAUGCAUACCCGUUUGCAUGUACUUUAUGAAUAAGGAUCGGCUAACUCCGUGCCAGCAGCCGCGGUAAUACGGAGGAUCCGAGCGUUAUCCGGAUUUAUUGGGUUUAAAGGGAGCGUAGAUGGAUGUUUAAGUCAGUUGUGAAAGUUUGCGGCUCAACCGUAAAAUUGCAGUUGAUACUGGAUGUCUUGAGUGCAGUUGAGGCAGGCGGAAUUCGUGGUGUAGCGGUGAAAUGCUUAGAUAUCACGAAGAACUCCGAUUGCGAAGGCAGCCUGCUAAGCUGCAACUGACAUUGAGGCUCGAAAGUGUGGGUAUCAAACAG